rnacentral:lncRNA from 1 species
UCUUUCCUGAGCUGUGAAUAGAGCGAUCACCUCCCCCUCACUGCCGGCACUGUGAGCAGAUCAUUAUGCCCGGAUCGGGCCGAGGUAAUGGAGUCUUCAAGUCACUUUAUAUACAUGCUGUCUUCUUCUUCUUCUUCUUUUACUGUGCGUUUCCUGACAGUACACUUUCCUCCCCUCUUAGCUCGUCAUGUUGUUCUGCAGUUGUCUUCCCUUUCUUAUUCUUCAAAGUCAGUUCGGCGCUCACCUGUAACUCCAAACACACGUUCAUAUCUUGAUCUGAGCAGGAUUUUCCCUCAUAUUUAUGUAGAAUAGCAUCACUGCGUUAGCUUACCGAGGUCAAGAGUGCAUGCAAUGAUCAGGUUACGCCGACCAUUUGGAACCACUGAAGUUUAUUCUUUAUUUAAAUGGUAUCAAUCAAGACAUCUCCUGAGCAACUUUCACUCUUUACGCAGAUGAUAGAGUGAUGUACUGCUCUACGUAGACUUUGUACUUUCAGUUAGCACCCUUAGCUGGCAAGCAAUGGUAUACUGUAUUAUUAUGAGUUUUAACAGCUCAUUACAGCUCAGACUUCCUCUGUCUGGAAGUUCGCACCAAGGACCCCCUGAAAAAGUCUGCGAGGAGAUUUCAAACAAACUCUCCUUUCGAGAUCCAACUUUUGUAUCCAAAGUGAAGAGUCCACCUUAAGGUCAUCGCCAUCUCCUGAGCUGAUUCGUUUUUGCUGCUCAAACAGCAAAUGAUGCCUUACAAAGCUGAGCAGAAGGAUUUAUAAAGGGAUAUUCUCGUGUAAAAUAAAUUUAGGGUCAAACACACUGCAACUCUGAGUUAGACACCCCCUCGAGAGAUGAAUGUUGCCGACCGCUUGCUUCUGUAGUUAUACCAACUUUAGUAACGACCGCAGGAUAGCAAUACACAGCGGUCUGAGGAGCCAAAAACAAACCUCAAUCAAAACGCCACUUUAUAGCCACAAAUAAUGCUCAGAACAGCACCUAACUUCAUCAACAGGACAUAUAGGGUCCUAGCCAUAGUCCUAGCCACCAAACAUCUUUUUAGCUUUGCCUGAUUUCUUUAGCAGAGAGACUAAACACAACUCACCUACUCUCUUCCAACAGCCGCUUGUUUGUAGCGAGACCUCAGGCGAGUCCGUCGACUGGGGUGCCGCAGCUCAAGAAAGAGCGUUAAUAAUCAUUUCUUGAUCAUUUCCUUGAAGUAAUAAUCACCAUAUUAAUCAUUUUGCACUGCAGACGCGGUCGUUCUUCUGUCUUAGCCUCUCGGUCUGAUUGUAUUUUCAUGAAGAAAUGAUCACAAAUGUUCUUCCUUGAGCUGCGUCACCCCACAGUAGUCCGUAAUGGACUGGCCUGAGGUCUUGCUACAAACAAGCGGCUGCUGGAAGAGAGUAGGUGAGUUGUGUUUAGUCUCUUUGCUAAAGAAAUUACGCAAAGUUAAAAAGAUGUUUGGUGGCUAGUGCUGUGGCUGGGACCCUAUAUGUACUGUUGAUGAAGUUAGGUGCUGUUCUGAGCAUUAUUUGUGGCUAUAAAGUGGCGUUUUGAUUGAGGUUUGUUUUUGGCUCCUCAGACCGCUGUGUAUUGCUAUCCUGUGGUUGUUACUAAAGUUGGUAUAACUAGAGAAGCAAGCGAUCGGCAACAUUCAUCUCUCGAGGGGUUAUCUAACUCGGUGUUGCGGUGUGUUUGACCCUUAAUUAAUUUUACACCGGAAUAUCCCUUCAAAGUCUAGUUUUUGGAGGGUUUUUGCAACAAAAUGACUCACUAUUUUUCAGACUUGGAUUAAUGACCCUGUAAGAUAACACCUCCCUCCUUGAACCUGUUGUUCAAAGAGUAUUUUUCGCACAAUUUUGCAGAUGCUUCGACCCUGCACAGCCCAAAAUCCCUCAAUAUGCACCUGCAGACUCACACACACACACACACACACAGUCUUUUCCUUUAGGAUAGCAUCCGUUGGAUGAAAGGUGCUCCCCACCUCCCCUAACCCCUCCCCCCUCUCUCUCUCGGUUGUCAAACAUCAAAAAGGAGAGGGUGCUGUCUCCAGAAAGACUCACCCAAGGCUCAGGGGGGAGGAGGAGAAGUGAAGGGGAGUGGGUUUCUUUUUCUUUUUUUUUGAAGGGGUGAUAGAAAAAGGAGAACAUGGCUGACGUCGGUGCCUUAUUCAUGCCCCACACACCCCCUCCCGCCGCCGCCGCCGUGCACCGGGCGAGGACAGGGUUCCACUGAUUAGUGCCAGAAUGUUCUAAAGAAAGCGAGAAGGUGCCAUGCCGCUGCCUCUAGCGAAGUUACACAGAAGGAGAGAAGAAGUGUGUGUGUCAGUAAAAGAGAGAGAGGGGGAGAGAGAGGGCGAGAGAGGUAGAUUCAAAGCGCUGGCGCAAUGAUUAAGUCAUUGCUUAUACUCGCCUUUGAGUGUCUUGUCUUUGAUGGUGUGAAAAAAAAGCCCCUCCCACACAGACAUCAUUAAGGAACAGAGGAAUUGUCUCUCAAGUUGGGGGAGGCGGGGGAAGCAGUGGCGAGCGUGACGAGCGAGGUCGGUGAUGGCGGUUCACAUCACGACUGUUUUGUAUCACAGUUUUACUCGGCGGCGUGGCAUCACCUGCUGAACCGCUGCUUAGAGCGAAGCUCCACAAAGGUGCUACUUCCUGUCUUUUUAGUCACUUAUUUGAUGUGCCUGAGGUAGACGUGUUACUGGCUAAAAGCUCUUUGAUUAAAGGUGGGGUCGACAGGAUUCCGUUAGAGAAGCAUCUUUUUUUGUGGUGUUUAUACAAAAAAGCUUUUAAUAUCAGUCAAUAGCUAUUAGUUGUUGAUGACAUUUGGGAGUAUAACGAUAUCGCUGUUUUUUUUUUUUUGUCUGUGUAGUCAACAUUUUAAAUUUUUGAGCGACCUGCUCCGCCUCCAACCUGAUUGGUUGUGAGGCACGGUCCACGUCCUUGAAUAACGUUCACGAUCCCAUCAAAGUUAGCGUGCUGCAAUAUCGGACGGUAGAAAAAGCCGGGUCAACAAUGAUGGGGGACUCUUCGGGAUCUUAUGGAACCUUAACAUUACUACAUUACUGAACUUUAGUUACUCUAGCUAACACACUGUGACACCGUCUGUAACACUAGCAAAGAUGUUUUGAUCUUAGCUAGUUAGAAUUUCAAACCGUGCUAACUCACUAGUAUUAGCUACAAGCAAAACGGUAACACAAGUGAGUGUUUUUUUUGCCUCACUUGCUAACUAGUAAGGUUCGGACAAGAGCUAAGAAGCCAGGUCAACAUCAGCAUAAAUAAUGGGGGACGCUUCGGGAUCUUGGUGACCCUGUAACCUUUCUGCUGGACAGGUAAACCGCUUUAACAAAGUAAGACAAGUGUCUGUAACAGAAGUGUUUCUUGUCAAACGGACCUGCUGUAGCGUGUUGUAGCGCCAUCGCUAAACUGUCCUCCCUCGGGUCCUGGACUAUGUCACUUUAUCCUCGUUGUAGAAGUCCUGCAAACAUUGUGUUUGCUGGUAGUCUGUUGGCAUCUACAGUAGCACCAAUGCUUUUGACUUUCACGUUUGACUGGGCCCCAUUUGUAACUAUCUGAAGUAUUUAUCUGCAUUAUAUCUGAAUUUAAUUGGAACAACAAGAGCGAGCAGGAGCGUCUGUUUGUGGGCGGGGCUUGCUGGAGCAGAGACAGAGGGGAAACUGGUUCGGAGCGGUAGAGUUUACAUUCAAGAUUUCGCCCAAAAACUGGCUCUUCCUCAGAUCCUUCCUACCCCACCUUUAAACGCAAAAGAAAAAACACUUCUACAUUCAAAGUUGCGCCAUAAAAAAACAACAAAAAACCAUCCAAUAUGGCAGCUUGUGGUUUGCCCAAUGAGUCCGCCAUCCAUUGGGGUUCUGUGUGGAAUAAAUCGGUCGACUAUUUUGAUAGUUAUGCUAACUGUGGCUGCAAAGACUGAGACUGAAGUGGCUCGUCAUCGUGAAUCAAUUGUUUGGAGUGUUCAUGCAUCCGCCUGCAUUUGUUCGCACACAUGCAUGAGCCGCACGCCAUCUCCAUGACUGAUCCUGUGUUUACUCGUCCCCGUCAUGAGUGCGACUACCAAACUAUAAAAUCUACAUUAACCGGUCGGGGCAUUUGACACAAAGAGCCGUGCACUUGAUCAUGUCAGACAAAAGUAGAUUGCGCCUUUUGAUUAAUGUGUCAGUCAGGGAGGCCAUGAAUAACAUUAGCGGGCGCAUGUCGGUGCAGAGUUCUGCUCAACAGGAAAAUACUGUUUGCAGCUCGUAAACGCUGGAAUUUUCCACUCUUUGGGUUGAAAAGCAAGAAAUGAUGCAGGAUGAUAUGGUUUAAUGACCACUAAGCGCCACUUUAGAGGCGAGAAUGAGCUUGAUAGUCCCACUUGAUCCAAAAAGCAGGUAUCUCUACUCAAAUGUUGCAAGCGUUCUGGUGAAAUAUCGGGCCGUAGAGACAGAGGAGAACAUAACCGGUUUGUUUGUCUUCCUUUAUUCCCCUGAAGAUGAAAAGCGCGCUGUUAAGUCUGAUGUUGUUGGUUCUCCCCCCCGUCAAAAUGAAAGACUCGCAGACUGACAGCCACAAAAGGGCUUUUUGAGAUUUGUUGCAACUGCAGGAAACCGCCUCUCCCUCCAAAUUUGCCGCCUGACAGUGAUGGAGCGCCUGUCUAAUACGGCGAUGUGUUCGUCCACAAGUGUGCGCACCCGCAGACACAACUGGGAGCGCGUUCAAAGACUCGAGAGCUGUCUGACAACAUCAUUAGUGUGUCUGCAUCUGUGUGUAUUACGUCGCCUUUCUUCUCUAUCUUACCCUCUCUCUCUCCCCCGCGUUCUUGCUGUCUGUCUCUCUUGACGGGGGGAAACAGGUGGAAGAGUUUUCACGGGGAACAGACAUCAUACGUUCCCUCUGUUAUGUCUCAGAAGCAGAUCAAUGUGGCGGGGUGGAGAUACUCGCUGGCGCUCAGUGACAAUGGGGGGAACGCUUAGAUAAUUCCCGGUGCAGGCGUGGAGUCUGAGCCCGGCUUGUUCAGUGUUUUCUCUCUCCCAGUAGAGCUCGGCUAAGUGUUCAUCCCACAACUGUGGAGCUGGGACUGCAUCAAGAGUCUCUCAAUCAGGCUUCCUGUUCCUGCAGGGUCGCAUCCAAAUACCAGGACUACGUCUAGUCUUGGAAAACAUAAAGUAGAGCGGCGAUUUCCAGCUUUGUUGGCGUGAAUCUGCGAGAGAAAAGGAAAAGACUCAGAAAAGGAGCGAGGAAUCUGCACUGGAGGGAUGAGGAGCACAACAAAGGGUACAGCGAGAGAAGAAAGAGGUGAAAAAGACAAGGAGGUAAAAUUGUGCUCUUCACCGCCAGGCCUCGUGCCCCCUUCUCUCCACACGAGAGGGGGGCCUCUGAUGAGGUGUUGAUUGCCUGUGGGCACAAGUGGUUUCUCCAAACACUCUAAAAAGUGGCCUAUCCUCUGAUUAGAUUCAAGUGUUAUGACGGCAAAUAGGCCCCGACACUCGACUAUACAUUACAGCUCGGAGAUAGACCGUGUGGCGAGGGCUUUCAUUAAAACGGCGUCUCGUAAAGACCCCGGACAGACCCAAAGGUCAUUUUGAGAAGAGCGCGAGUUAUCGUCAGGGCUUUAAUAUCCAAAGUCAUCAGCUGUUUUGUUGUGGUCUCUUUGGGUCGAAAAAACGUGUUAAAUUACUCCAAGCCUGUGGGAUACCCUCCAAACAGCGAUGGGUCACUGUGAUGGCGGCGAGUUCGCCACUACAGCAUAUAGCGUGUUCUCAAGAGGGCUGAAAACAGAGCGGAUAUAGGACCAUAAAGGCCACUCGUGGGUAAUCUAAGGACUUAGAAAGCACAUUAGCUUGAAUGUAUGGCGAUUGUUCCUCUUUAAGAAACCCGUUUAUGGUUUUUCUCAUUUUCUUUGUUUCUUCUUGCAGUUUUUUACAAGGUUAAAGUCAGUUGUUAUCACUACAGGAAGUUGAAUAGACAUCAUUUCAAAAUAAACAAGCAUAUUUUCAAAAAAGUAAAGUUCAUUUUUGCAAGAAUAAAGAUAAGAAUAACUUUAUUGAUAGAUAUUUUUAUUGACAUAUUAAUUUAUUAAUAUACUUUAUUUAUUUAUUCUUCUUUAUUAUAAUUAUUAUUAUCAAUUUUAUUUAGUUUAUUUUAAUAUUGUUUUCUGUAUUUAUUUUAUUAUUAUUAUUUUUUAUUUAUUUGUUUAUUUAUUUAUAUUUAUUAUUAUUAUUAUUAUUAUUAUCAAUUUAAUUUUGUUUAUUUUACUACUAUUAUUAUUAUUAUUAUUAUCAUUAUUAUUAUUAUUUAUUUGAUUUUGUUUAUUUUAAUAUAGUUAUGUCAUUUAUCUAUUUUAUGAUUAUUAUUAUUAUUAUUAUUUAUUUGAUUUUGUUUUUUUAAUAUAGUUAUUCCAUUUAUUUGUUUUAUUUUGUUUAUUUUAAUAUCGUUAUUUCAUUUAUUUAUUUUAUUAUUAUUAUUUUUAAAAUUUAUUAUACUUAAUUCAUACAUUGAAAGUAAUUUCAAAUUAAAAGUAUCACAAACAACUUUUUUGAGGUUUUAAAAAAAGACUUUCUCCUACAGGGCUGCUCUUGUAGACGAUGCAUUACUUUGCUUUUUCUGUUAUUCUAACUCCCAAUAAUAAAAAUAUGUCGUCAGUUCGACUAAGAAGUGUCACAUAAGUAAAAAUGUCGCUUCAAUAUUGCAUAUCUGCAUUGAGUGAGUAUGUGUGGUGGAUAUAAAUCAUGCAAAAAGCACCUCAGACGGCUCUAAAUACUUAAACUGGUGUAACAAUCUGUCUUUUUUACAUCCUCCUGUUAUUCUCCAUCUAAUAUCAACAUUUCUCGAACGUGUUCAAACAAGCUGUCAGCGUAAAAAUCCAGAGUUUGCUAAAAAUCAGAUUUCCGUAGGAGUGAUGUUUGUUUCAAUGCACAGUUGAAAUGUGGGACAAUAGAGAUAAACAGCUGCUCAGAAGCACACAGUCCUGUACUGAUCCGCAGUCAGUCCCACAAGCCCAGACUGACAUCUGUCUGCAAAUGUAUGGACGCACAAACACACAUGCACAUGCACACGCACACAUACUGUCUGUGAUGCAAACCGCGAUGUACACAGACGAGUGAUGAAUAUUUAAGAGGCUUGAGUCUGUAUGUGUUCCAUAUAUGUCACCAUCAGCGUCUCAAGAGCUGGUUCGAGGGCAGGGGGCUGAUGAGCAGUGUGUGUGUGUGAGUGUGUGUGUGAGUGUGUGUGUGUGAUGGUGGGCUCAAAGUGGCCAUCUUCAUAUAUCAUGUAGCUCCUUCUUGCCAAGAGCGCUGCUUCUGUCAAGUGCAUGUGAUGAGCACCCACAAGACCUCUCCGCUCUUCACCCCCUCAUCUGAGUGUGUGUGAGUGUGUGUGUGUGGAGAAGAAGGAACAGAGGACAUCAUGGGCAUCUGCUUUAAAGAGAAAGCAGGUCAGUGGGUUAGGUUGGACUGUAUGUAUGUAUGUGUGUGUCGUAUGAGGGGCAUCGUAUAUCUACGUUGGGGUAAAUGAGUAUUGUAUAAAAAUAAACAAAAAAAGAAGGAAUCUAGAAAAAUCCAUGUUUGAUUUUUAAAUUAUUAAUUUGCAUUUUAUUGCAGUAAAUUAAUAUUCGAUCACCUCCCAACCUUUCAGAAUUUUAGCUCUCACAAAUCUGUUAGGUUGUCAUUAGAAGGCCCUCCAACUCUCCAUUCGUUACCUGGAUCAGCUGCACCUGUUUGAACUCGUUACCUGUAUCAGCAGCACCUGUUUGAACUCGUUAGCUGUAUUAAAGACACCUGUUCACACUCUCAGUCAGUCAAUCAGACUCCAACUUCUCUACCAAGACCAAGGAGCUGUCUAAAGCGGGGUACACACAUAAGGAUUUUUUAAAUCUUAGGAGAUUUUUUAUCUGUUACAGACCCCACAACCGGGAAACACAAGACGCAACAUGGAAGAGGACACACAAGAGGAGGGAAUGAUGGUGGUUUUGGGAGUAUUUUUGACAGAAAAAAAGAAAAGACCGUGGAAAAAUCCUGAGGACAGCGUGAACGUGGACUUUAAAGUCUACUAAGCGAACUAAGGUGAGUUGUUCUCAAAUUAAGCUAAUUGCUGCUGUGAUUAUUAUUAUUAUAUUAUAUUAUGUGAUGAUCGCUUUAUUUGGUUCCUUGUUACUCAGUCAGCUCGCUUCUUGAUUGGUUGCAAUCCGUUUCACGUGACAAUUCACAGAGUCAUAACUCGGGAGUCGUCGGCUUCUCCCACACGUGAAGAUUUUUGGUUGUAAAUAUUGAACAAGUUUAAUAUUUACAAUUGUUGGCUCCGACCCGUUUUGGACCCAAUUAUCGGGACAAAUUCAAUCUUAAUACACCUCAGACCAGAGGAUAAUCUUAUAGGAUAAUCUUAGAAGACAUAAGAUAAUCUUCCGAUUGUAGUCCUUGGUCGGGAGGGAAAAAAUCGGGACAAAAACAGCCCGAUUAUCUUUAUGUGUGUACCCCGCUAAAGUUGCCAGAGAAGUAAACAGAAUGUCCGAAUGUGGAGCUAAACGCGGAGCUGAAGCAGCAAAAAAAGAUGUCAGCCUCUGGCCGGUGGUUCGGGUAUCUCCAAAGUGACACCGAGCAUUAAAGCCGAUGUGUAAGGUAUGUCAGCAGUUGGUGCCCUCAAAAAACGGCAACACAACAAAUCUGUUUAAUUAUUUAAAGAAGAACUUCCCGAGUGAUUAUGCGGAAAUCAUGAAAAUGUGAGCGGAGUCUGCACAGCCUGAGUUUAACUUCAACUAGCGGUGCAGCCAGCAGACCAAAGCAAUCAAUCCUAUCAUCUACGUUUAAAUCAUCUCAUGUUUAGAUUUUAAGGCAUCUUCAUCAUCUCUGAGGGGGCGAUUUGUUUAUUUUGGGUCUUGCAUACCUGUAAAACACUCAGGAAUAUAAACUAGUUCACUGUAUUAUUUAGUAUUUAUGUAUAUAGUAAAUAACAAUUUGCUUUGUUAUUUACUUUGUAUGAUAAUAAAAUGUUGAACUAAUCUCAAAUUUUUUCAGUUUUUAGUACAUAUGCGUUAAAACUGGCAGUUUAAAAAGAUUUUUUCCACUGUACAGUUCCUAAAAUUUGACUUAGAAUUACAUUAAUACGACCACAUGAAUCUUGUUCCUGAUACACGGCCCAGAAAUGGUUCUGAUCCGGUCUUGUUAAAUGAAACGUUCACCGCCACCUCCUUUGUAUCAACAGGAGAAGAAACUAACAAACUGAAAAUGCCAUAAACCAUUAAAGCUAAUUGACAGCUGCGGCUUCUUUGGAGGAGAGAAAAUGUAUUCAGCUCGAUAUCUUCUCGCUGAGACGCAGCCACAUGUAAAGGGUUAAUGACACGACUGGUGAUGCCUCGCUUUCCACAACACUGCAUGAUGGGUAAACGACACCCCCCGCGGAGUUUGACAGUAGCUCGCAGCGGUCCGUCACCUCGUGUCCACUCUCAGCGGGACGCCUGGCACUUGUGAUGUUACGGGAGAUGCACACAAAAACCACAGAGCUGCUCCACAGACUCCGAUGUCGCUAUUCUUACUGAUCUGAAGUGAAGUUAAUGAAAUAAGAGAGCCGUCGUCUGGAAAACGAGACACUGACUUAAUAAAUGCUGGUGUUAAGGUAAUACUUGUUUAGGCGAUACCUGGGGACGUAUUAUGAAACAAUAACAGUUGUAUUUUCAGAUUUAUUUAACAUAGAUGUGAGUGUCAUAGAUGUGUAACUCAGAAAAGACUAGACUGAUAUUGUAAUGUUUGUCAAAAAAUGGUGACAUGCUCCUUUAUUGUGAUAAACAUGGGAAAUCGUGUUUAUGUAAAUCUUGUGUUGUUUGGGUUCUGACUUUGCAGUCUUUAUUUUGGCGUUAUGGUCUUUGUUGGUGUCGGGUUCUGUUGCUGUGUGGGUUUGAGGUUCCUUAACAGCAGGGUUGGUGUGAGGUUUGAGGAUUUGUGCAGAGCUGGAUUUCUUGUUGUUUUGGUUCUUAUGAGUUGGGGGUUCUGAUGGUGUUAAGGCUCAGAUGGUGUUUGGGUUUUUGUUGUUUGAGUUUUUGGGCUUAUUAGGUUUUUGUUGUUGGGGUUCUUGUGCUGUUAAGGUUCUUAUGAUGUUAAGGUUCUGAUGCUUAAUAGGUCUUUGUUGUUUGGGUUCUUGUAAUUUUGGGGUUCUGAUGUUGUUUAGGUUCUUAUGAUGUUUGGUUUCAGAUGCUUUUUGGGUUCAGAUGUUGUUUGGGUUCUUAUAAUUUCGGGGGUUCGGAUGUUAUUAAGGUUCUGAUGUUGCUUGGGUUCAGAUGUUGUUUUGGUUCAGAUGUUGUUUGGGUUCUCAUGAUGUUUGGGUUCUGAUGCUAAUUAGGUUUUUGUUGUUUGGGUUCUUAUGAUUUUGGUGUUCUGGUGUUGUUUGGGUUUUUGUAGUUUGGGUUUUGAUGUUGUUUGGAUUUUUUUAAUGUAUAAGAUUCUGCUUUUUUCUGGUUUUACAGUUGGUUUCACACUUUUUUUGUUCCAGUAUUUUUGUUGGUUUGGUUCUCAAGAUGUUUGGAGUUCUGAUGUUGUUUUAGUCCCCAAAAUGUUUUGGUUCUUAUGCUGAUUGGGUUUUUGUUGUUUGGGUUCUCAUUUUCUUUGGAUUUUAAUCCGUUUAUUUAUUGGGUUCUACCCUUUUUUCUGGUUGGGUUCAAACCCUUCUGGUUCCAGUAUUUUUGUUGUUUUGGUUCUGAUUGUACUUUGGGUUAAGAUUCUGCAGGGUUCUCUUUCUUUAAAUGAGUUAAUUUGCUGUUUGGGUUCUAACUUAAUCGUCAUUUUAGUUUAGUUUUAGUUUCUAACUUUAUUUGGGUCUCUUCCUGUUUCGUUCCUUUUGUUAUUUAGCUCUGACAAGUUUGGGUUUUUAUUGCGUUUGUUGUUUCACUUUUGUUGUUGUUUGGGUUCUUUUUGGAAGAUGAAGUAAAACCAGAUAGUUUCCUCACUGACUUUUGAGCUGUAACCAGUCCUCUCAUUGUUAAUGCAAAACACAAUCCCUUUACAUGUUCUCUUAGGACGCUGCUGUCAUCACUCCCUCCGCCUGUAUUCUGCUCAGGUAGCAGAGAAAACACACCUUUUCUUUAGAAAAUCAAGCCCCCAGCCAGGUUGUUUACCCACCGAGUGUGUAACUUGGUAAUGUGGCUCCUGUACGAGAACAAGCUCCACUUUAUGGCAGAUAUGAGGUGGAAACAAUCAUGCGAUACAUUGCCCUCGUCCGUUGAGCUCGGCUCUUUUGUCGCGAGCUUCUGUUACUGAGCAAUCUAUAAGUACUUAGCUGCUAAGGAAAUUAGCCGCUCCACCGGCUGGAGAAUGGAGAAAUCAUUGUGAAGCCGGUAUGCCUCUGUGCGCCUGUGUAAUUGUGUUUCCAACGAAUGUGCACUCAAAGUAGGGGGCUCCUAGACCCUCUUUUCCUCCUCUUUCCAGCUCCUACUCCUCCUCUUUCCCUCUUAACUAAAACCGUGCACCCCUUUAACAUGUAAGCACAAGCUAGCCGCGCACCGGGGCCACGCCGGCGCACCGCAGCCAACCUCAUUACCGUGUGAUUAUGCGAAAUCAGCAGAGAGGAGCGAGAGAAUCAAAGCCGCCACUGGAGAUGAGUGAGAUGUACAGUAAGUGUCCCUGCCCCGUUGGAUUGGCGGGGGAAAGAUUAGAGGACUCGCUCCUAGAGACGGGUGGAGAUCAAAUUCUCUCUCUUAGUUUGCCUCCCUCUUGGGCGUCAAAAUGAGUCUCGGUGAUGAGGCAGAUGUCGAAGUCUAUCCUCCUGGUUAGGAGCAGGUUUGGGCAAGCUUGGAAAAUGAGGGAGAUCCUCUCUGUGAUAGCCAUAAAGAAUUCUGGGAGCCCUGCAGAGAGGAGUGGGUUGAAACGGCGUCAUUUAUAUUCAAGGACAGCUGCAGCCGAGGAGUGGGUAUAAAAUCGAUGCAGGGGCUUUACCUCGUCUCAUCCUCGCUUUUUUUGUUCCUGCUGAAAAGGCGGCUCGGCUCGCUGUUGCAGACCCUAAAUUGUGGCUGAAAUGAUGUUUAGGGGAAUUGCACACAGGGAUGAUAAAAGGGAAGGCCGGUUUGCACGCAUUCAUACACAAAUAGGCGCGCGGAUACACACACGAGCCACACACGCGGCGGACAUCAGUGCUGCGUGAGAUAACAAGACCAUAUUGAGGAUGACCGGAGGGUUAGGGGAAAGGCGGAUGAGUGAAAGAGUAAGAAAAGUGGUCACGCUCGGCUUCCUUUUCGCCGUAUAGCCGCCCUAUCUCUCCACCGCACUGACCCUCUACACCACCAGCUCAGCGCCUUAUCAGCGCUUUCCUCGGUGCCUCGUUCUUUCUCCCCCCCCCCAGCGACCCCGCGGAACGUGAUGCUUGGAAAACGCAACACCGGAUAUAGGUUGAGUCAUAGAGCGGCACUAUCACCGUCCGACACGUACCCCCUGUCGGGGCGCAGUCAUCGAGCAGUUCAAGGUGCGAUUAAAAGUGCAGAUUGCUCCUCCUCCCCUCAAGCGUGUAUCGACAUAUGCUCGCCCAACACACCUUCCCCCCCCUGCGAUGAAAACGCACAGUUAUGAGCUUGCUUAAGUGCAGCCUUUAAUUGAAGUGGUAGAUGCAGGUAAAGAGCUCAUUUAUAUGCAUUUCUGCAGCCUAAAGCCAUUGGUUAACACACAUGCAAACACACACACACACACACACACACACACACACACACACAUACACACAAUGGCAACAAUAGUUAUUGAAGCUGACGGCGGCCUUAUCCGCUUAAUCCAAAUUUACAUACACCACUUCCGUUUGGUAUUUCAACAAAAGCAUUAGCUCCCCCCUCUUCUCCGUCCGCCAUGCAAAUAACCCCAACAUUGAGCUGAUUGUCGGGACGGCGGCUGGAGGGGGUUUCCGUGCCAGAUAGUUUGGACUCCAGAAGACGUGGACCGGCUCAAGUCAAAUGAAGCAGCAGGAAAUACAACAGCUGCUGCGACAAAGAACCUCCAGGUUUCAAGAUAGGCUGACGGCGGAUUCGGGGUGAUUACAGGGGAUUAUAAUCUGUGUUUGGAACUGGAAUUAUUGGCAAUAGAAGUAUUCUUGAUGAUGGUUACGGCAAUAUUGGGGUCCACCCUAAAUGACUUACCCGGGAUUUCCACCGCAUCUGGAAUGGCAUUGAUUUUCGCCGUACGCCAAUUCCUACCAGAUCUGUUUGUGAGGCAAAUUUACGGACAGCCGGAAUCGCAAGAACUCACAAGACCCCGCCGAUUCACGUGCAAUUGCGCGAUAACAAGUUGUCUUUAGACACAUAGGCUAACCCUACAAGCAGUAGAUUGUGUCCUUCUAGAGGACGAAAUCUAUGUCUAGACUUCUAGAAUCAGCAUCUCCUCAUCCAUGGUGUCAUCGAGGGGAAAUGACAUCUAUAACACUUUUACUUGUUUGUCCCCGCCCAUUUGCAUGGUGUGAAAUACGAUCCACCUGGAACAUGGAGUGUUUUAUUUUGAAAAGAAGUUGGAUGUUUUAUUUUGUGUCUGUGCCCGACUUCCGGGUUAAUCUGUACUGAAUUUAUCCAGCAUGCUCUGGCGUCGAUCCGCACUGGAACGGAAAGAAGCCGGUGGAAAUUGACACAUUAACUUGAAUGGUUACGAUCGGCAGAUACAGCCUUUUUGUAGCCGUUCUAGUUGCGGUGGUAAAUUGGGGGCAACAUGUUUGAUAUUUACAGUAAGAUACCGUUAUGAUCCCCAAGGAUGGUUGAGAUCAGGAAGCGAGGUCACUGGAAGGAUGCACAACAAAUGCAAAAGCACAAACGACAUGAAGCCAGAAUCCAUUGAUGGAUAAAUCGAAGGUUCGUUUGGACCAAAACCGGACUCCUUUGACUCUUCCCAGGCCAGUUUUGAUUCAAUAUACCCUGAAAAUCUAAGGGUGAAAAGUGGGAAUCGCUCUGUGGUGAGCCAUACAGGCAAUAAUAAGUAGACAUUACUUUAUCCAAAAGGGUCAUGAUCCAAAAAGGUUUAGGACCAAUGAAAAAAGGAUUGCUAUUAAGUCUUUAAUGGGCCUACAAAUAAUGUCAGGAUCAAUAAUCGUGUUAAUGUUAGCUUUAAAUUUGUCGGCAUACUUCACUGUAUGUAUAUGACUCUCGCUGAGAUCGCUUUAAUAAUUCGGGAUGGCACCAUGUGUGGAUGUGACUAAUGUGGUCUGUGCAGGACACACAUUGUCCCAAUCAGUCUUUAACGAAUGCACAGAUCCUGGCAUGAAUAAUUUGGAGUCCUAGUAGCCCUCCUCGGGAUGUGCAGAGGGGGGGUUGUUGCAGAAUCAAUAGCCAUAAGGAGUCUGGCUCCCGUUAGCUUUCAAGAUCUACAGCCAAAGGACCCAGUCAUCAAAAGUUAAUGAGCUAUUUAGAUCAUGCUGUUUCCUCUGCUCUCUACUGAGAAAACACUGCCGGACCGGAGAGAAAAGAGCCCCGGCGCGAGCGUGUACGCGUGUGUUUCAUGCGCUUUAUGUGUUUCCUAUAUAUCUACAGAGGGAGAUUGGCAGCUGAGAGAGAACAAAGCAGUGGAAAUGGUUAUCAUGCGUGUGCAGUUGUGACUCGCAUUGUUCGGGGCGAGUGCCUGACAUGGGUUGCAAACCUUUUUCGGGCCAGUAAUGCGAAAACAAAGCCUGUUUCUGACUCCCGAGUGUGAGGCUAUGGUCGGGCUGCUCAGGCGUUGCAGCAGACAUAUGAAUUGGCUGUAGCCCUCAGUGCUGUCCAGUAAAAAAAAAGAUGUAUUCUCAACUUGAGCUGAACAGAAUGAGUGCGAGUAACUCUACAUAAUGUGUCGAUGAAAAGUCUUGGAUUUCUCAAACUUGUUUUCUUUUUGCCGUCCCAAAAUUUAAACAGAAAUUCAGAGGAAAGCUUUUGGUUUACUAGUGGUUUCCCCAAUUUAUUGCAUAUUUGCUGCCUGUGAAUUGCACUUUGGUUCUCCUGUUUUUGCAGCUGCCUCAGUAAAGUCCCCUACUGAAAAUGUUGAUCACUAUGGGACCAACCUGGCUAAAUAACGGUAAAAUAAAUUCUAAAACACAAAUAAAAGUAAGGUAACUAACUCUUCUGGCGAACCAGCAAUUUGGUGCCCAAGACCUCUUUUCUAGUCCUGGUUUAUGUGCACUGGACAAGAACCAAAUUAUUAAGAGAAGCAUGUUUGCCUCAAUUACAGUAGUUGGCAAUAUGACCCCACACGUCCUUUUCUCCCUGGACAUAUCCUCUUUUUGGCGGCUGUCUGGCGAAGUGUAUGAAAUCCUUUAAAUGUCUGCAGUUUUGUACAGAAGUUCUGAGUUUGUGUCAGGUGGACUUACUGAGUUAGAAGCAUGUAAAAGACACUCGAUCUGACCUGAAAAACGCUCAAAAUUAACUUUGUCUCAACAGGGUUGCAAGGUGUUCACAAGUAGCUAAGGGUUGGUCAUCUUCUGUCAAGUCUGAGCACACUGUCUCACUUCCUAGCAACAUGUUAACUCAAUUCAACUUCUAGGAGAAACUCUUGAGCAUGUGCAGAACGCUUAGGCCAGUUUCACGACACGUUUGAACGGUCACACCGCUGCCUUCAGAAGGAAGUGAGAAGACACAGUGAACUCCAACUUCAGGAGUUUUUGCUUCAGUUUGGUAAAAAUAUUUCUGAAGUUGGUUGACAGGUUAGAUUUAUGUAAAUUUGCCUCACAAAGACGUAUCAUUUCUGGUUAAACUUGAAGUUGGAAAUUUUUUUUCUCCUGUUGAAAUCUCUUAGUAAUUGUGUGAUUGUCCUGCAAUGAUCAAAGACGUUUUUUGUUGUUGUGAAGGAGUCAUGAUGAAUUCAGAAGGAAAAUAAUCUAUUGUUGUUCUUUUCCCAUCAAAUUGAAUAGAUUUUGUCGAAACAACCUCAAAAUAUUUCAGUAAAAACAUCAUGUAUUGUAAAAUUUCUUAGAUUCAAUCCAUUUUGGCCCCCUAGUCUUUAAUUCCAACACAUUUAUAUCGCUCCAAUUGUCAAUUCUUAUGCCAUUCAUCACCAAUUUCUUCAAUUCUUCUGCAUUUUUAUUACUCAGAUCUUUGUUUCUAACGCAUUUCCUCACUCAGAUCUUCAACUCUAUGCUUUGUCAUCACUUUAAUCUUCAUCUGUCAUACGUUUUCCUCCAAAAUUGAGCAAUUUUAGUCUGACGAACAAGUUAACAAGAACUUUAAAGUCUAUCUUCAGUCAGGCUUAUGCAGCAGAUGCACUACUUUGACAAUCGUUGAAGGACUGACAAGUAGAGGAACCUUUUCAAGAUUGAAACUUUGAAUUUCUGCGACUUCUCCUAUUGAUUAAAGUUUUGAAGGUUUAAGUUUGUUAAGAAUUUGUUAUUAUUGGACUUUUUGGUAUAACUAUUCACGCCACUUUUGCUGCUUUUCCCCUCUUAUCUGUUUUCACAUCGGUCCGUUCGUUUGGAGGCUUUUCUCUUUGGUGGUUCUCCAAGAACUCGAGGAACUUUCUAGCUUUCAGCAGGGGUCUACAGGGAAGACAUUAACAGCACAUAACCAUGAUUUGAAUCUACGAUAUACCAUGUUCAUUAGGCUCAUUAUUGCUGGUACACCUCAGGUUUGUUGCCACCUAUUAAAUUAUGGUCAUUCAAGAGUCGUCUCCCUCACUCCUACCUUGCUCCCCUGGCUCCUUUAUGUCCUCCUUAUUUCCUUCCUCCCUUCCUGGACUCUGCUAACGAUGCCUGAAACAAACCGACCAACAUGUCACCCAGGACUCCUGCCCGGAUCCCUCGCUGGCUGUUUCCCUGGCUACUGGCCUUGUUAGCGAGUCCACACAUAAACGUAGCGGGGGAAGAAGUUAUAGCGGUCUGAAUUCCCUUUAGGACACUGGGAAGUUGCAACGACCGGGGAAAAUGUGAGUAUGUGCAGCAGGAAAGUAAGAGAUGAUCAUUAAGAAUUAACAUUAUUCCCACUGUGGCUAUUUUGAAGACUUGGGGACUGCAACACGACCCGGUAGACUUAUAAAAUAUAUAUAACUCAAAGCAGCAAAGCAGCAAGCAAUUCCCGUCCUGGAUGUAAUGUGAGCUCCAUGUCGGCGCCGUGGGAGCGAGGUGAAAACUUUUCCAACUACAAAUUUUGACCACCUUGCCAGUCAAACAUCUCAGGGAGGAAGAAUCAAAUCGUGUCGAGCCGAGCAGAGCAUUGAUUUUCAGGAUGUACCCAGCGGAGGAGGUUUUAUCUGUUGUGCUCUCCACGGAUGCACAUUAACCUCCAACUCGCUUUGAAUCACAUGGAGAAGCCCCGGAGGACCCAAACCCACCAGCGACGAUUAAUUGGUCAACCUUUAUGUCGUCCUGCUUCUCCCAGCCUGCUUGGCUGCUUCCUCCAUUUGUCUCACCGCUCACCACAGCCGCCGCCGCCGCUGCUUUCUGUCUGUCUGUCAGCUGGCUUUUAUGCCUUCCCCUCUCUUCUCCAGCGAGUUUCCCACAAAAACCAAAUCCUGCAGCUUGAGAAUCAGGCAUCAGGGGUUCAGGGGGAAGAAGAGAUGAGGGAUGAAGUUUGGCUUACUGUUGGGCCUGGAAACUUUUCAGCAUAAAAGCUCUCAGAGAAGGCGUGCUGAUCAGAUCACUGAUCGCUGAAGGUCAUUAUCUCUUUGUUGUUGGACCAAAUCUGCAGACCGGGCUGGGAAGUAAAGUUCAAAGCAACCCUCUGUGAACCUGCUUUAAUGGACUAACGAUGACUGGAAUGACCUUGUCAGUUCUUUUCAGAAUUUUGCAGGACUUUUCUGUGAUUGUUUUAUCAGCUUUUUGAAAAGGAUGCACUGCAAAGGAGUGAUAUCUAGGAGUUUUUGCAUUUUUGGUUAAACUUGUUGAAGUUGGUAAAUAAAAAAGUUCCAUCUCCUGUCCAAAUCUCUUAGUAGUUGUGUGAUUGUCCUGCAAUGAUAAAGGACUAUUUUUGUUGUUGUGAAGGAGUCAUGAUGAAUUCAGAAGGAAAAUAAUCUAUUGCUGUUCUUUUUCCAUCAUAUUGAAGCUGUUUUUGUCGAAACAACCUCAAAAUAUUUCAGUAAAAACAUCAUUUAUUGUCAAAUGUCUGAGUUUAAAUCCAUUUUGCCCCCCUAGUCUUUCAUUCCAACACAUUUUCAUCACUCUAAUUGUCAAUUCUUGUGCAAUUCAUCACUCAUUUCUUGAAUUCUUCUGCAUUUUUAUCACUCAUAUCUUUGUUUCUAAUGCAGAUAUUCAAUCCAACUGUAAAUUUUCGUGCAUUUUUACGCUCUGGUCUUUAAAUUCAUUACAUUUCAUCGCUCAAAUCUUCAAUUCUUUACUCUGUAAUUGCUGUAAUCUUCAUCUUCUAUAUGUUUUCCUCCAAAAUUCAAUCCCAAUGCACUUUUAUCAAUCGAUUUUCCAAUUCUUAACUCCAAUAUUUAACUUUUACAUAAUUUAAUGCUCCAAAUUUCAAUUUCCAUGCAUUUUUAUCUCUAAAAACAUAAUUUUAUUACACUGAUAUUUAAUUUCCAUGCAUGUUCAUCCCUCUGCUUUUCAGACCUUUUUAAAUUCAUGUCACCCUUCGUUACUUUUUCAUAUAUUUGACGUCAAUCUGCAUUUUUAACGACACACAAGUUGGUAAACUUUAAGUAUAACAUUAAAAGAUUAUAGUGUUUACACAACAGCCAGUUUUAAGGUAAAUAUUCGAUCAGAAAGUGUCAGAAAAGAUGCAUGCUCUGUAUGCACUUGCAAUACCGCUACGACAGGAAAUGAAGACGACUUUAACAGAACCAGGACCCUGAACCUUUGUGAUCUAAACUCAUGUGUUUCUUCUUAAAUGUCCUCUAAAAAACAGGCCUGUGUUCUCCUAAAGUAAAGAAGUCUGGUAUCCUCUCAGGAUGCUGUCCUGCACACCUGCGCUGCUGUUUUAAUUUUGUCUGAUUAGACCUCUGCUUCUUCUGAGGCCGGGCGGAGUGAUUCAGGGGGAUUAACCAAAGCAGGAAAGAAGCUGCGAGGUAAAGGUGGAAAACUGUGCUACAAAACUAAUAAGAGGCGAAGAGAUGGAGAUGUCACUCAAAGAAAGUCCGCAACAAGGUCCCUGAUUGGACUUUUUUUUAAGUGAAGGCCCCUGUGCGAGUAAACCACCAAUUUUGCAAAAGAAAGAGCAAAGAGGAGUGGGAAAACCGCGGUGAUUAGCAGCUGAAUUUACAGUCCGCCGCGGCCCGCUGAAAAGAGAGGAAUAAAACCUUUUCAGGAUGGAGCUCGGGUCCCCCACUAGGGAUGUUCAUCGGUCACUGAUGAGUGGUCUCUGCAGGACUGGAGCAACAGCCGCUGAAUUAUUGAACACGGCGGCGUCCCUUAGGUGAGACGCCGCCAUGGAAGUCUUCAGUCUCCGGCCCUCCUGACAAAGAGGGGAAGAAAGCUUGAUGAAACAUGGAGGGAUGCUUACAAGCCAUCCGUCACGGUACCUCUGCGCUCACACAGAGGCGGGAUUGGAUUUCCGGCCGGGGGGAUUUGUCGUGGUGGGGGUGGUGGUGGUGGUGGUGGUGGGAUUGAGCGGUACUUCAGCGGGUAGUUUGAUAAAGAGAGGAAUGAUUGUCUCCAGAGUUUAAAAAUCCUCACGAACCAAAUAUCUCUUCGAGGAAACAGAAAGCACAUGUCGAUUUUCCACUUUUAUGCGCUUGUAUGCCGACGACUAACACAUCUAUGCAGAAUCCAUGUAGCCUGUCUAUUUCUGUGUGUCAGCAUCUAUAUUAUUACAUGCAUGCAUGCGGGUAAGUUAUGCAUCUGAGCCCGGGAGUCUGACGCCCGACCCAGCGCACCAGCAGUAAUACCAUCAGAGCUCUCCCGCCGAGCACCUGUUUUAUUACAUUACAUACCCCUGAUCCUCAAGCUGCAUAUGAAACCUGAUAACAAGCCGCAGUCUUUGAUUUACCUGCCAAGGAGACCAGCUUUGGGCUCAUGUUGACGGUAAGAGCCGGCUCCACUGGAAUCAAUUGCUAAAUCUGCAGGCUAAUGGUGCUUGUGUGCUGGCGUUAUUACAUCAGAUAGUGCGGGCUUGUUGUGGAGGGUGAGGUCUUAUCGUACUUGUGGAGUGGGUGUAUUGGAAUAAGGAUGGGGGUUCGAAUGAAAUGUCAAAGUCUCUUAUAAAUCGAUCUGUUAAGUUACCACUGUACCUUUAUUUCCCUGCAUAUUUAGGUCUUUUAAUGACCUUAAAGGUGGGGUAGGCAGGAUCUAAAGAAGUGUCCGUUUUUGAGAGACAUGUUGAAUGUAAACUCUACCCCUCCCUGUCUGCUCCAGCAAGUCAGAUAUAAUGCAGAUAAAUACUUCAGAUGGGGCCCAGUCAACGUGAAAGUAAAAAGCAUUGGUGCUACUGUAGAUGCCAACAGACUACCAACAAACACAAUGUUUGCAGGACUUCUACAACGAGGAUAAAGUGACAUAGUCCAGGACCCGAGGGAGGACAGUUUAGCAGCGCUACAACACGCUACAGCAGGUCCCGUUUGACAAGAAACACUUCUGUUACAGACACUUGUCUUACUUUGUUAAAGCGGUUUACCUGUCCAGCAGAAAGGUUACAAGGUUUGUAAGAUCCCAAAGUUAGCUUCACUGACAUUGACCCGGCUUCUUAGCUCUUGUCUGGUCUACCUCCUUUUUAAGCGCCCGUUAUUCUGCCAGAGUCUCCGGUAUUUACUUUGUUUUCUUGCUUGUUGACAGUCGUGGCCGGAGGAGGAUUCAGACAAUUUUCUGUACUUUCUGGUUGGUUUCUAUGGUCUGAUAUUGUAGCACGCUAACUUUGUUUGGGCUCAUGAAUGUUAUACGAGGACAUGGAGCGUGCUUCACAACACGGGGGAGCAGAAUGUUGUUGACAAAGCACAGCGAUAUUGUUAUAUUCCCGAAUGUCAUCAAUAACUAAUAGCUAUUGACUGAUAUUAAAAGCUUUUUUGUAAAUACACCACAGAAAAAGAUGCUUCUUUAAUGAAAUCCUGCCUACCCCACCUUUCAGUAGGUGGAGUGACCCAAGAUUGUGGGUACCUAUCGGCUCUGCAGUGUUCAUUUUGCCAAAAGAGGCAACUCUGCAGAAGAGACGGAGUCAGGGAGACGUUGUCAUUCCCUACCCUCGUGUCCCCGUCGUCACCUGCUGCAGGUCUUGGUCGGUGAACUGAGUGCACUUUUCUGUUUCUUUUCCUUGAUUGAACAAGACAACAGACGAUGUGAAAUAAAGGUCCCCCAGCAGGAAAUGACCCAGAAGCUCCACACCAAACGUCAGGUUUUACCUCUUUUUCAACUCUUUGAUUCCGAGCAGCUUAAACCUUUUUCUUCUCCUGAAACAGAGGCAGGGAUUUUACCGCCCCACAUGUCACGCACAGCAACGCAUAAAAAAGACAAACACACACACCUACUUGCACAUGCAAACACCUUUCCCCGCUCCCUCCCAUGUCUCCGUGUCCCUUGUGUGCAGUUGCAUCAGCAGCAGGGGCCUGUGCCUGUUGUCAUGGCGUGAAACAUCCCUGUAACCCUCAGCGGGUUCUACCAGCCCCCUCUGCCUCCGCGAAGCACCCCGCUACCCAGCCAGCUGCUUUCCACAGGUGUUGUCGACACAUGGCGGAUACAUCCACGGAUAAAGAAACGAAGGAGGAGGAGGUGGGAGGCAGAGGAGGAACAAGCUCAGACAGACCUCGCCUCACCUUGAUGGAGCGUGGCUCACGGAUCCCCAGCGAUGGUAUUUUCAGCCCCCCUACCUGCGAACUUCUGCAGGGUUUGCGUCACUAAAUGCCUGGCAACCACACCUGGCGUCAUCGUCGGGACCCGCGGGAGGAAUCAUCUGUGCACAAACACCGGCUGCGGGGAAAAAAGGAGCAUCUGGAAAGAGAUUGGAUUGGUAGAUCGAAUCAGCGAAAGUAAACAGUUUACAGAAGUAGAUGGAGUCAAAAAAGGGCAAAAAUGAUCUUGGAGUGGGACUUUUCAUCACAUUUGUCAAGAAUGUGUGGAAGAGAGUGAUCUACUGAUGGUCUAAAUGGGUCCUGUCUACUUCCUGAUGGAUAAAGCGAGCCUCUCCAGAGCUCUCAGACUCGUUUGCCUUUCUACGCUUGUUCCCUCUUCGGUCCGAUCACGUCUUUAUCUCCCCUGAUCCCCCAAUAAGCCUUUAUGUCUUUGAAUAUUAGAGUCCUGGCGCGGAAGAGUCACUCGGAUAGUCAAUCAUGGCGGGAGUGUGCAGCUACCUUUGAUUGCUAUCGGACUGUUUGCUCCCUGGAAAGAUGACCAGAUAUGCAAGUGUAUUUGCGCGAUUAGAAUCAGUGCAUGUUUGGGAGGAUAACUAUCAGUGGGUUUUUGUGUGUUUUGGCGUGUUGCAGCUCCAGACAGACAUGUAAACAUCAUCACCCCGGCCUUCCCUCCCUUUCUUCUCCUCCUCCUUCCUCAGAUACCGUCUCUCUUCUCGCCGGCUUCACCUAAGCCUCCAGAUUGCGUUUUUGACAAGCGCCGAUCAUCCCUUUCCCCGUUCCUGGCAUCCGAUACCAGACAAGACGCCGGCGCUGCUUCUUCUUCUUCUUCUGCCGCCGCCAAGAUUUUAUUAAACAGACGAGGAGAGAGGGAGGGAAGUGGUGCUGAAUGAGAAUCAGACUUCAACGAUGAAGUUGAUUUUAAUGAAAGCCCCCCUAAAAUGACGCCCCUCUCUGCAGGGAGGUCACAUUUUCCGGGGAUGGCUGGAGAGCACUUUAGCCGGGGGAAAGAAAGAGAGAGAGAGGAGAGGGAGGCGUGCUUGACAGUGAAAUGCAGGCUAAUGUGUUGUCAAGGCAGAAGACGGAGGAGAUAAGAUAGGAAUCCCUGGCAGAAUUGUGGAUGUGGGUUGCCAGGGAGCUUUUUCUCGGUAAUCUAUGCAUGCCGGAGAUGGGAGCGGAAGAGGGAAACAUUAUUCAAACACAGGUGAGGAAAUGAAAACGGUCAGUCAGAGAGGAGGGAGUGAAUCCUUUUGUAAUACGCUCCUGAUUUGUUCCACAUGAGCUGGAAAAGCGAGGCCUGGGACUGAAAGGCCUUGACAUGCCCCCGUGUGCAUCUGCAUUGUGCCGUUCCCUUUUUCAGAGCCGAUACUGUGAAGGUGACGAUAUCAACUCCAUCAAAACAUGACAAUCCCAUCAUUUUACACACUGGGAGUAUUUGGUUCUCUGUUUUUUUCGGUGUAUUUAAUGGUUUUCGUAAAGUUUUCUCCACUUUUCUUCCCUCCAAUCUUCCCUCCUCGCCAUCCAUCCACUUCAUCCCCCCUCUCAUCUCUCUCCCCCGGCCUCCUCCUUCACUCUUACCUUUGCUAUCUCAUUCCUUUCUCUCUUUUGAAAUGCCUGUUGCUGAUCCAUCAGGCUGCUACCAGAGCGUGCUCCCACUCCUUUCUCACACUGAGUAAAGUCUGUCUCGGAGGAGGAGGCGGCGGUGGCGGCGGCAGUAGUGCUGGGAGGUAGUUCUACUCCAGUAGGGUACCAGCCAGUUAUUAAUUACUCCCCAAUUCCUCAUCUGUUCUCCGUCUGCGGAGAGAAGUAAUUACGCCUCUCCCCCGUUUCUCCCCUCGUCGGCAUCAGAAAUGACGCGAUAACCAGAAACCCAAAUUACUCCCGCUGAUGAGACAAUCAUUGAGCGAGAGGGAGCACGCCGGAGAUUUUUCAGCCCCGUGGUGCUUCGCCCAUCGGGGUAAUGGCACCUCGAUUCAGUUUCGGAUGCCUCCCCUUGUGCAUUUGCGGGGCGUUUCCAAUUUCCACCUCGCCAAACACGAGAAGAUGGGUAAGAGGAGAUAGGCAGACUGAAUUAAAUGAUUUUAUUCCUCUUUUCCUUUUUUUUUUGCGACCAAUAAGAGAGUGCAAUCAUUGGGCGGUUCCAGCUCCAAUCAGCGGUUUGCAGCUGGAGAGGAGCGGUGAUGGAAGAGGGACAUUAGCGCCGGAUCCUCAUCUGCCACAGAAAGACAGAAGGAAAGGAGGGUGGAAAACAAUCAAGGAUGCUUUUUUCUUCCCUUUUUUUUCCCCCUUUGAAGAAAAAAAAAAGGUAUCCAGGUGUCAAUACACAUGCAUUUGGAUGUGCUCCAAGAUUGUGGCUUGUAGAGUAGUUUCAUGGAUAUUAAAGAGAGGUGAGGACGUCUUUGUCGGGGAUUUCUUGGCUUUUUGGGCCGACUCGAGUGGAAACUCCAUUUUUGGGGUGUCACUUUCCAACACCAGUCGUUGAAAUUUGCUUGUCUUGCUCAGUCAGUAUACUUCAGUCACCUCUUUGCGAAGGCACACCUGAACAAAUGUUCCUCGGUAAAUCCGCCUCUUUAAAUUUUUGCCACUCUUGCCAAAACACACAUGAGCAGUAACCACUGUGUUUCAUUCAGGUGAGCCAGUUCCACAGCACACAGUGGGACUCAUUAGUCUCACCUGUGGCUUCCAGGUCGAGACAUCUGGAGAAGGUGAGCAGAACACAAGCUCAUUUACGGAGCAGGCGAACACAGGAAAGCUUGCAAAGAGCAUUUUAAUGGAAAUCUACGUCGAGCUUUCAUGCGGUACUUUUAAUAUUUCAAUGAAUGCAGAAGCUAAGCUCACUGAAGGCAUGAAGUAGGGCUUUUGUUUUUAGCUGACAGAAUGCAAAACACUUAAUUAAACUUAAUUCUAUUCAGAUAAAUCAGUUUAGGAGUCGCACCAACGUUAGCAUCCAGAUUUGUGGACUGGUGCAAAAGUGACGCAUCGCUAUCUUGAGGACAGAGAGAGCAAAAACCUGGUUUAAAGUCUGAAGCUCAUGGCGCAGUGCUUUCCUGAUAUUAAGAGGGUAAAUAAAUGAGUACACCCCUUAAAUGUUGUCAGAAAACCUUUAGUUUACUUUCAAAAUCAACAUUUUCUAUGUCAGACUCUACAACAAAAUACUUCCCCAAAUGUAGGCCAUUGAUUGCAAACAAGAUUUUUUUAAGUUUCAUACAAAAAAGUAGUUUGGUUUGCAGUACAUUACUUUUAAUAGGGCGUGUACUGGCUUAUGCUGGGCAAAGUUCACAACAUGCAUUUUUUUUAUUUUUAUGCAGAGUUGCAUGGCAGUGUCCGACAUUCUGGGAGUUUUAAACGAGUGUUUGAUGGGACUCCGUCAACAAGCUCUCCAUCAUGCGCACUCUCAAAUUUAUGCAAAAACAGGCAAAUGCAGGUAACACAGUCCUCAUAAUGGCCUCCAACCAUCAUACUCAGAUAGGACUGAUCUGCAUCCACUGUGCACACAGUAUAAACCAUUUCCAUUUGAUCCAGCAGCAAAAACAAGCAGAAAAAAAGAUUAAAAGCUCGAUAUUGUCAAUAAUUUUUCGAUAAUUAAUGACGUUUAAGCUGCUGUACCUCGUGUGUAAUGUACGUAUGUGUCAAUCUGGAAAAAUCCAUACUGAUCCUGCUGAUUUGAGAACCUGUUUCAGUGGAUUCUGCACCGUUUAACCACCUAAAACCUGUCAGAUACGCCCUAAUUCACACUUCUGCCAUGUGCCGUGUCUAAAAAUUGACAAGUCGCUUUAAAAAUAAGCAGUUUCUAGAGGUGACAUGCCAUAGUGGAUGCAAAACUAGUUAAAUCGAACCCUGAUUUCUGUGCUGCUAAAAUUCCUGCUCCCCUAUAGGAGCUCUUUGUCAAAGCCAAUCCAGACAUCUCUGAAUGCAUCUCCCCCCUGCUUCCCUGCUCAGCUGUCAAACUGCAGUUUAAAUGGAGCAGAAGAGGGCUAGUGCUGUUCUCUAUAUUGUAUUUCAGUACCUGUCAAGUGCUUAUUGAUUGGCUGCGGUGGAUUAGGAUGGCUGUGUUGCAGCAGAGAGAGUGUGAGCGUGCUGUGGGUAUAUAUUUUUAUACGAAUGUGUGCAUGCGGAGCCGCACUGGAGGUCUCUGAAAUCACACCGUCUAAUCCGCCGCUCUCCAACUUUAUCUCCUUGCUACGUCUUCUUUUUCUCUUCCCCACCGGCCCUCUCGCGUACGUCCUUUAAGCUUCGCUCGCUGUCGUCGGCCUGGAAUGAUUUGGAUCCUAAUAGUCUUUUUACAGCCGCCGGCUAAUGUUGCCAUGGGGGAACGUAACGGGGGCCAUAACGAGACAAUCCCAUCCCAUAUGCAGAGGAUAUGAGGGGGAAUUUGUCUGCUUCAACAGUGACAGGAGCAAUCUGUACAGUGGAGGGGGGAAAAAAAACUCAGUGUAUUCAGGAUUACGGUGCAGGAGCCCAUUGAAAGUCUAAUGGACUAGUCACAUCAAAUAGACUCGGUCGGAGCAUGCUCAGAUGGGUACAUGGCGUGCACACACUCACACGCAGAAAGAGAAGCCAUUACCAGCAUGGGUUGGGCCAUUACUCUCUGUCCAGUGCCGGUAUGUGUGUGUGUGUGUGAGUGUGUGUGUGUGUGUGUGUGUGUGUGUGUGAGGCCAGGCCAUAAUGUUUCCAGUCCCAGAGGGGUCUCAGUACAGUACGGCCCUCCUAAAUAAUUACCACAGGCCUCUUUAUAUAAGAACAGGGCCAGGCAAUAAAGGGACUAUGAUAUUGCAUUGUGCAUACUACACUGAUAUGAAGGCGGUGAAUUGUGAACUUGCAAGCUUGUCAGGCGGCCAUUAGAGGAGACCUGCAAUGCAAACAUCUUUUGUGAUGUUGGAGCGAGGAUUUCAGCCGCAUCAUCACACGUUUGAGCGUCUUUAGAGGCUUUUUAACGCGUUUUUACCUUCUCAAACCAAAAUGUAAAAUAGCAGGUUAUCUGUUUUCAUUGGGCGCUCAUCAUGAACCUUAUUUUGUAGGAUUUUGUUCAAGGCCAUACACUGAUUAGGGGUCAAUUCCUGAGUUUGGAAGUGUGAUUCCUUCUAUGAAUUUUGCUAUUUUCGAUGACUCUGCUCUAGGGCUGGGCGAUAAACUGAAAUAUACAACAAUAACGGAAAUAAUUUUGCCCAUAUCAGUAUAUUAGGUGUCAAAAAAAUAGAUAAAUAAAAGUUGGUUUUGGAUGUGUGCAGGUAGGCUAUGGUAUCAUGUCCCUUUAAGACGUGACUCCACCUCAUCCAGUCCGUAACAAAGAGGGAAAGACAGAUAAGGAGAUGGAGAAUGGUUCAAAAGUUGCAGCCUAAGUAGAUGAAGUUAAUUUUGGAGGGGGUCAGCAGCUUGUGAAGUAGUUAUCCAUUUUCACAAGACUUUGUUCAAGGUUACGAGUCCAGUUUUUCUGCACAAAAAGGGGUCAAUUCCUGAGUUUGGAAGAGCGAUUCCUUCGAUGAAUUUUGCUUUUUUCGAUUAAAAGGUAAACAGCGCUCACCACGUCCUCACAAAGAGUCUGUUUUCCUUCAGAGGAUGCAGAUGUUUGAUUAGACGAACAUUGGGAGAAGGUUCAGAGGGAGAAAAGGGGAAUGUGUCUUUAAAAGCAACUACAUUCACUGCAUCUGUGAACUAAUCAUUAUUACUGUUUACUAGGGCUGGGCGAUAAACCAAAAAUUUACCGAUACCGAAAUUUACGUCAAUAACCUGCGUCAUUUUACCCAUAUCGCUAAAUUCAUCGCCAAAAAAAUAAAUAAAUAAAAUUUGGUUUUGGAUGUGUGUAGGUAGGCUAUGGUCUCAUGUCCCUUUAAGACGCUGUCCUACAUUAGAGAUGUGACUCCACCCCAUUCAGUCCCGGUGUGGAGAUGGAGGACGGUUCAAAAGUUGUAGCGGCUGAAGUAGACGAAGUUAAUUUUGGAGGGGGUGAGCAUCUUGUUGAGUAGUUAUUGUCCAUUUAUCGUUAUCAAGGUGAACUGCUCAAUAUAUUGUGAUAUUGAUUUGAGGCCAUAUCGCCCAGCCCUACUCUGCGCUCACAAAUGAUGUAAAACUCAACGUUUUAAGCCUAUUUGAGGAUAUUCACAGCAUGUUUCUCUUGUAUUUCCACAUUUCCAAGGCUGGUCAGGCAGAAACUGUUUCCAGAUCCGGUUAUUUUUUUAUGCAACAGCUUCAAAAGGUCAGGAGCCAUAACUAAUAUAGUCUGAAACGUCAUAUAAACGGACUCGUCAUGGUUGAUUCACACAAAACAUGAACCAUGGAGCUCAAACUGAUGGAUGGAGUUGAUCCAACAUGGACUAAAGAACAAGAAGACGGGAAAACUUCGAUUAACCCACCUCUGUCAUGAACAAACCGAUGUGUGAAAAAUCUUGUGUGACAAAUCCUACGAAAGAGGAUAAAGGCCACAAGAAGAUAAAAAAAAAAAUGACAGGAGGGUGAUUUUUUAUUUAUUUUCCUUUUCGAGAUUAAAAUAUAAAUUUUUAAAAGUCAAAAAAUGCAUCUCGAUUUUAUUCAUUUCGACUUUUAUCUCAAAUUUUUAAGUUUUUUCAUCUCAAAAUUUGAUCAUUAUUCAUGACACUUUGUAAUCUCGAAAUUGAGACUUUUAAUCUGGAAAUUUCAACUCUAAUCUCCUUCCUGUAAUUAUAUUUUUCUCUUCAUGUGGCCCUAAUUCUCUUUUGUACAAAUCCAGGUUAAAUGAUCACCAUAUCUUGGUGAUAUCCCAAAUGGAAACCCGGGUCUGAACUGAGUCCAGUUCGGUUCAUGUUGUCACGAUUCUUCUUGGAUCUCUCUGAAAUGACGACAACAAGGUGGAGCGACCUUGUUUGGACUGAAUCUCUUCUCGUUUCGACCUCCAACAAACAUCUGCUUUUAAGAAUCACGACUGCUUCGAAAAUCUAUUUCUCGAAUCUGCAUCUUGGGCCUUUCAAACCUCCCAAUUUCAACUGUCCUCAUUUUCCGAGGAAACCGUCCAGCCAGCUGUCGAGCCAUCCCCGACGAGGUCACACCAGAUGUUUUAAAACUCAUCUUUCACCUCAUUUGUGAAACGUACAUUCAGGUGAAAAUGAGGCAAUCUUUAAGCGCUCUCGUCGGUUUGAGCAGGUGCGGUUUCCACAGGGAGUGAUAAUUUCUUUUUACUGAUUCGAGUCACGAGUUCUCCGCCUUUCCCGCUCUGAGUUGGGUUAAAAAUGGUGUGUCAUUUCCUCCUAGGAAAAUAAAGUUUCUCCGAAUCAGUGGGCGGAUGUUCACGUCUCCAAAAAAGAUAAUUUUGUGGCGUGAGUCUGAACACAUUUAUCUACUCCAAGUCCCCAAAGCCACGCUCGGUGGAGUGAUACAUGCUCGCAGGCCAAUGUGGCGCACAGGCUGUCUGCUGCCUCCGAUUCCUCCCCCAACCAGUCAUAAUCUGCGUAAGUCAUCCUUGAUUAACCCCUGCUGAAUGACUCUAAUUAGAGCCAAUUAGCCCGGGCAGGAUGAGACACUCACCAUGCAGAUGAACACAGCUGAGAGACGGAGCGGGGUCGAAGUGGAGGUGUGGAGAGCUGGGAACACGCCGGAUGAUUGAGGGAUAGAGGUGCUUCGGGCGUGGAGAGAGCCGCGAUGGAGGCGGGAGAAAUAAUGAGGCGAUGGAAGAGAAGAAGGUUGGUGGAGCAGUGACUGUUGGCUGACUAUCUACGGGCAUCUCGUCGGGAGGCGCGAACGCACACUUGUAGGGGCGAAUGAUGAAACUCGUGAUCGCUGAAACAAGGUCUCAAGGUCUCAAGGUCGCUGAAACAUUUGGGUUAUCCAAUCCAGGAGAUUUUUGAGGUGUGCGCCGGGCAGUUUUGAGGUUACCUUGUAUGGUGGAUAUGAGCGAGUUAUGAGAGUAUUUUUAAUUAGAUUGCUCAUCUAAAUAAGUCUAAGUGAAAAUGCACUUUUUUGUUUUGUUUUAACAAUAAUAAAUUUAUCUGAGGCUGCCAUGAACGCAUCACUCUGAGACGGUGCAAGACUCUCAACGUAAAUAUUAUAUCUCACGUUUGUUUCCCUUUCAUUAAAGUGUUUAUUUCACAACAAAAACUGCUUAAAUAUAGUUUACAGCUUAAACUGACCUGAAUCAUCCCAAACUGUGAAGUAAAAGUAUCAAUCCAGUGUCUGUGAGGCUCAGCAGAAACACAGGACUGUCUUCGGUUGUCCGGAAACCUGGAAACUUUGGACAAAUUUUGUGAUCCGAUUCAUGAAUGAACGUGAACCAUCAAACGACGGGAGAUUCCCAGGAGAAAUAACAAUACGGGAGGAUGGCGGGAGAGAGGUCUGAAAUAUGAGAGAGGCCCGGGAAAAACAGGAGUGUUGGCAGGUAUGCAAUAAAUGCUCAUACGACUCUGUGUGCUACCUCCAUCGUCCAUCAUGUAUACUGAAGUCAUGACGACUGUCGUAUUUAUUUGAGCGACAGACAGGCUGUUUGCGGUUGCCAGGUUGGGUGGCCUUCGACUAAAUAUGACCUGUUUACAGUGUUUUACCUGGGGUUUCCCCUGGAAGGCUUUGGACAUCUGGCACACUUGUGAACGGAGUUGAGUUUGCCACUCACAGAUGCCAGAAUGAGUGUGUUCAACACCAACGCGUUCAUACACAAAUAAAGAACAAUACGUUCCAUCCAUCCAUCUGGAGGCUGGAGCCUAUCCCAGCAUCUUCGGGCAAAGGCAGGAGACACUCUGGACAAGUCACCAGUUCAUCCCAGGGCUGACAUAUAGAGACGAACAACCAUCCACACUCACAUUCACACCUACGGGCAAUUUGAAAGUGGCCAAUUAACCAAACCCCACUUCUGCAUGUUUUUGGGAUGUGGGAGAAAACCGGAGUACCCCGAGUAAACCCACGCAGACACAGGGAGAACACGCAAACUCCACACAGAAACGCCCUGACCUGGAUUCAAACCCAGGACCUUCUUGCUGUGACCUUCUUGUCUUGUGGCCUAGAUGGUGGCAUUUCAGGACCGUGCUUACAACCACAUCUGCAGAAAAACAAGGAACAAAACUGGGAAUCAUUGGAGAAUAUGACACUCAUGUCCAAAUCUAACCAGCGUUUUAAAUGCUAAUUAUAUCCUCCUUCAAUUUGCAUCCCCCCCUGUUUUUUUCCCUAGUUUUUAAUUAUAGUUUUUCCCCUCUGUACCCUUUACCCUCCAUGUGUAUCCAUCCAGACUACUAGCCGGGGCGCUCGGAGGCCUUACCUACCAGAUACCCAUGCCAGCUUCCCCCAGCCCUCCCCUGCUAUCGACCAGCAGCAGGGGUUUGGAGGCCAGACUGAAGAGCCCACUCAGCCUGCCCAGUGAUUGCCUCAGUCUAUCAUCAGCCAGAAGAUUUCUAUUAUUGCAGAUGGAUGAUUGGUCUGGCUAGCUGCCGGCCUGGCAAAGCAAGCUCAUUUUAGAGCGGUUUGAAGUGCGAGCCCCCACUGCACCGGAGCGAUCGUGAGGAGGAGGGGUGACGAUUCUGAAAAGGGGGAUUUUGGUGAUUUGGUGUUGAAAUAAUGGAGCAGAAAUGGCCGUAAUGACAAGGCACGGAGACGCUUGGAGCAUUAUGCACAGAGGACGAGGCUGUUAAUGCGGACCGUCUCUAUUUCCGAUGGCAAUUUGAACGCUAAUGACGGGGAGCGCUUUUCUGUUAAACAAAUAGACGCCCUGCUCUUUGAAUGAGGAGUUUGUUUACUGUUUGUUUGGCGAGGCCGGAUCCUCUCAAUACCCCGUGACGGAACCACUGCACGGAUGCUUUUCCUCGCCAUCAGAGUGAUUUUCCAACUUGAAUCAAACAUGGAGUCUUAUGAAUAUCUCUGACAAGUUUCUGGUCCCUUUUUUUCCCAGUUUGACCUCUCUUAAACCUUUCACCUAGGGCUGGGUGAUAAGGGGAAAAUCAGAUCAGUCAAUAUCAAUAUACAUCACAAUAUUAAAAAAAUCACUUGUCAACUUUUUUAUAAUUUUUUUUUUAAAUUUUUUUAAUUUUUUUUAUUGACAUUCAGAAUCAGACAUUUACAGUAUAUACGUCAUGUCAGCAUACUUCUUGCUUCCGUUGUCUGCCCUCGAUGACAAAGCAAAAUUUUAGGUUAUAUCUAAAAAAAUGUGAAGAAAAACAAACAACUGUAACAACAACAACAAUUGAAUUGAAAAAAUAAAAUAAUAAUGAAAGAAUAAAAAUAAAACAGAUUUUUUUAAAAGACAAACAACCAUGACAACAACAAUUAAAUAAACAAUAAUAAAAAAAUAUAUAAAAAAUAUUAAAUAAAAAAAGCAAACAACCAAAACAACAAUAAAAUAAAAAAUGAUAAUAAUAAAAAAUAAAAAAUAUUUAAUUAAAAAAGGCAAAUAACCAUAACAACAAUCAAAUAAAAAUAAAUAAAUAAAUAAAUAAAUAAAAUGGAAAAAAAGUAUUAAUAGGGAGCGCUCUUCCCCACACACCAUGGCCACUGGUUUGUGAAAAUAAAAUCUGGCCUAUGAGGCGUGACAUAUUCGACCCAGUUUUCCUCGUAUGAUGUGAAUUUCUCCAGUUUGUGAUUAACAAAUGGUGUUCUCUUCUCCGUUUUAUAAAUGUCCAUGGUCAUAUCAAUCUUAACUUGUCAAUCUUAAAUGUUACAUUACUCUUAAAUGAAAUUUAAAGAUUUCAGAAGGUUCAUUUUUAUUUAAGGACUUAUUUUCUGUCAAAGUUGAACGUAAAACUAUUUCAAACAGAUACACAACUCCAAAUAAAUUUGAAAAAUAUUAAUUAGAAAACUAAAAUUUUAAAGAUUAGGAAAGAAAACAACAUGUACUCGACAUAAUUUGCAGUUCACAUUACUCUGCUUCAUGUCCGACCUCAAUUCAGCACAUGACUGGUUCAGUGCGGCGCAGACUCGGAGCAACUCCCCUUUUCAUUGGCUAUUACAGUCUACCAAAACACGGCAGAAUGCCGGCCAUCAAAAAGCAUAUGGAAACAUCACACAAAAGAGUCAGUAUUCGCUGCUGAGUGCCAAAGUGUUCCAGUCAUGAUUCAUCCUCUCUAUCAUAUGACUUUCAUACGUCUGCCUCUCCUCCCUGUUGUUAUUCUGCAGCAAAUCAAAUUACAACAUCACAUUUCAGCCUCAAACACGACUAUUUUCAGACUUUCAUGCCCCGGGUUGGCAGCGUUGGCUUUACUUUACUGCCUGACCCGAGGUCAGUUUGGAUCUGUUGUUGGAGCGCUGGACUCUGCGACCUGCAACCCGAAUCAAUAGUCUUGAGGGAAUUUGAAGUAUCCUGCUACAUGGCCUCUGCACUUGUGAGAUUGGAGAAGUACAGAGGAAAUGCAACCCAACAUGGUUUUUGAUGCAGUAUUGAUCUCUGCAGCCCAGGCUUUACUGUAGUGCAUUACAAAACAGGGGGAAACUGUACACUCCUCGUUUAUUUAGUUCAAAGACUGUUUUCGACACAGAAUUAGCAUCUUGACAUAUCACAUAGAUGUAGUCCACUUUGUGUCCGAAUGGAGGCGCUCUUGAACAGGAUACAGGGUCUAAAAAUUCACCUUUUGACACGGUUCACUCUUUGUUUCAGUCGUUUCUCUGACUUCCCUUAAAGGGAUAUUCCGGGGUUAAAUUAAUUUAGGGUCAAACACACCGUAACACCGAGUAAGACACCCCCUCGAGAGAUGAACUUUAGUAACGACCGCACGAUAGCAAUACACAGAGGUCUGAGGAGCCAUAAACAAACUUCAACCAAAACGCCACAAAUAAUGCUCAGAACAGCACCUAACUUCAUCAACAGGACAUAAAGGGUCCCAGCCAUAGUACUAGCCACCAAAUAUCUUUUUAACUUUGCCUAAUUUGCCUAAUUUCUUUGGCAAAGAGACAAUGAUCAUAAAUGUUCUUCCUUGAGCUGCGACACCCCGCUGUAUUCUGUCAUGGACUGGCCUGAGGUCUCGGUACAAACAAUGGCUGCUGGAAGAGAGUAGGUGAGUUGAUUUAAGUCACUUUUCUGAAGAAAUUAGUCAAAGUUAAAAAGAUGUUUGGUGGCUAGUGCUAUGGCUAGGACCCUUUAUGUACUGUUGAUGAAGUUAGGUGCUGUUCUGAGCAUUAUUUGUGGCUAUAGAGUGACGUUUUGGUUGAGGUUUGUUUAUGGCUCCUCAGACCGCUGUGUAUUGCUAUUGUGCGGUUGUUAAUAAAAGUUGGUAUAACUAGGGAAACGAGCGUUUGGCAACAUUCAUCUCUCGAGGGGGUGUCUAUCUAGGUGUUACGGUGUGUUUGACUUUAACUUAAAUUCACGCCGGAAUAUCCCUUUAAUAUAUCUCUUUGCUGUUAGCUUGUAGCGUAGCUCAGAUUUCUUGUCACACUUUCAGAGUGGCAAAUGUGUCAAAUAUCAGACAGGAUGGCCUCUGCAGCAAAUGAAGAGGAUACAGGGUCUAAAACUUCCCCUUUGUCGUGGUCUUUGCUUUCAGUCCUUUCUCUGACUUCUCUUUAGUCGUUAGCUUGUAGCGUAGCUCAGGUUUCUUGUCACACUUUCAGAGCGGCGAAUGUGUCAAAUAUCGGACACAAAGGCCCCUCAAAGUCUUUGAUUAGGCGCAUUAAAAUCACACAAACGGCGGGUCCCAGGCCCUCCUUUUGUCGUCCUUGUCGUAUAAAUUUGAUUCAGAGCCAGAUUCUUGACUUUCAUGAUCGUUUUUCAUCCACCUUUCGCUUUCACUCUUGCCUUUCAGUCCCCCCUCCUCUCAUCUAUUUACGCAGCUUUGUCGCUUUGAACAUCAGUGCACGGGUGGCUCUGUGGCUGCCGCUGUCACCUGCUAAUGUCACCGGUAAUGAUGUGAAGCCGCCUCCCCGCUACCCCCACCUUGAAACGGCGUCACAGAGCCCAGGACUCAAUCAUUUCAUUUAAGCAAAAACAAAGUGCGACAGCGACAACUGUGAACCAGCCAAGAGAGGGAAGCGGCGCCGCUUUCGUCUGCAAAUCACUCGGCUAACACCUUUGAAGUGGUGACAUGCCCCUGGAAAAUGUGGCGAGGAGCUCCCGGUUUGGGGGAUGAAAGGGGAGUCGGCUUCUCGUCAACUUUUGACCUCUAUACGCGGAAGAUCAGUUGGGGUUUGGGCCAGCUGCCACUCCAGACAUCGCUGCCGCUGCCGUGUUUGAUAAACGACACUGAGAGUUUCCUUCUACGUUUACUGAAUCGAGCCGAAGAGUAAACUGAGUUGAAAUGAACUCCAAUGAACUGAAUCACGUCAGAACAUCCAAAUCCGUUUACAGACGGUGAGUACUUCAUCUUUUCUUGGUGUCAGGAGUUGGUUUUGCUCGAGGACACUUCUGCAAAGUGGAUUAAGGGGACGGAUGAUUGACCCCGCUUCUCCUUGAAGUGACCUAAUCCUGGUUGACCCCAAACAGCUGUCAGCGCCGAUCCCCAUUGACUGCAGUUUUGACGUGUUUUAUUGAGCGUAGCGGCUGAUAAAUGAAGACGAACUGAGCAGAAAAUCAACCACCAUCUACUGGAAAACACGCCGGAGUCCUUUUUGUGAAUUUGUUGGUUCAGAGUUCUUGUUUCUUUCUCCUCUGAUGGAUAAAAAUCAAACUGUGAAAGUCAGCGUGGCCUGACAUUUGGUUGUGGGAACGUUUUUAGUCACGCCUUCUCAGAAAAUGGUCUUCAAUCUAUUUUCAAGAGUCGCAUUUACUAAGAAGAUCCAAACCAAAUCUAAAAAGCCGACUUAAGCGGAUAAACUGACUAUCAUUUAAUGUCUUCAGUAUUAUUUUCUAACCCUUGUUUGCUUGUCAGUGAAAAGACCCUAAUUUUUUCCCAUGAUAUAGAUAUUUUUGUCAACAGAGAAACAAAAUUUACCCGUUGUAUCCUAUAUAUCCUGACAAAUUAAAGAUUUUGGCCUCUACAUCCUCCAAAAUCAGGAUUUAGUGGAAAUGUUCAGGUUUAAAAAACCAAGAAUUUUCAUUUUCUGGACGGUUUAUCCCACCAAAAUGAGUUUGAGCUGGUGAAUUUGUUAUUUUUUUCCCCUCAAUUAAAUAAUUAUCAUCCUGCUCAGAGCCACAUAUUACAGCUAAAUCAAAAACUUGCCUUUUUUUGCCUUUAUAUUCCAAUAAAUUCAGGUUUUGGUGCCACAGAAGUAAAGUCUCUCCUGUUGUGGUCCAUUUAUCCCAAUCAAGUCUGGAUUUGGUGGGAAAUUUUUGUUCCUAUAAAAGAAAAUAUCAAUCUUUUGUAUUUGGCUGAAUUAGAGCCAAGUAGCAAACAACUGUGUAGUACCAGGCUGCAGAUACACGCAGUGAAAAUCUAAGAGUUUUGGCACCAAAGACCCCAAUUUCUUCCAAGAUAUAGAAAUGUUGUCAACAGAGAAACAAAAUUUGCCUGUUGUAUCCCAAAUAUCCUGACAAAUUAAAGAUUUAAGCCUUUACAUCAUCCAAAAUCAGUAAUUGGUGGAAAUGUUCAGGUUUAACAAACCAAGAACUUUAACUUUCUGAAUGAUUUAUCCCACCAAAAAUAUAUAUAUUUUUUAAUUAAAUCAACAUUAUCCUGUUCAGAGCCAUAUAUUAAUGCAAAAUUAAGACCAAGUACUCGCCCUUUUUGCCCUUAUAUCCCAACAAAUUUAGGUUUUGUAGAGGAUUAUUUAGUUUUGGUGCCACAGAAGCAAAGACUCUCUUGUUGUGGUCCAUUAUCCCAAUUAAGUCUGGGUUUGGUGGGAUAUUUUUGUUCCUAAAAAAGAAAAUAUCAACUUUUUUUCAGGAUUUGGUUGAAAUUGUUGUUUUUUCGUCCCACAGUGCGUAUAAUUGUCAGUUCUAGUCUUUGUAUCCUUAUAAAAUGUUAAAAUUUGCUUUGUUGGAGGUCUUCUGGUCAACUCCAGUUAUCAGCUCUUCGGUCAGCUCAAGGCCCGCCUCAGGACUUUGAUUUAAGCCCAUUAACUUCAACCGAAUCUGGAUCGUAUCGCUUGAUCUUUUAAAAUGACAUGAUGGACCGUAAUAUUUGCCUGAAUCAAACAUUUUCAACUCAAAGAAUUCAACAAAAACAGCUGAAAUAAAGCCCCGGACAGGAAAUCAAAGAGGAUCCAGUCCAGAGUGUCAUCAUUAAAAGCAGCAGGACUCUGACGCCACAUAAGUUGCAGUGUAAUUAUCAACCCUGACAGACUAAGGGUAACAUUUAGCGUCUGCACAGAUCCCCCGUGAGGACUGUUUUCCAACACGCCGCCCCCCUCAUUGAAUUCAGCUUCAAACCUGUGAAUCUAUUGCGCGCUAAGCCCUUACACUGAUCGCUGAUGCGGUGGGCGUGCUGUCAAUAUUGGCCCAUUCACUGUGAGGGAGCAAAUCUCCCCUUGACAUGGCCAGCCAUGCGAGUAAUAGCUAGGAUUAAGAUAGGAAGGUACACACAUGAAUAUACAAAACACUGUAUGGCGCGGGAGGAUCUGAGGCGGCGCAGUCGGGGGAAAUUACCGAGGCCGCAUAGAAACAAGAUUGAAGGGCUCGGACAUGAAAGGAUUCAUUCAGAGCCGUGACGGUGAUGACGGUGACACGUUUUCAAGGCGUUGUGAACAUAUAGAGGUGGUUUGGGUUUCUGUACAGGUCUAAAAGGACAGGAAAGCGAGCGGCGUGAUUAUAUGGUCAGCAGACGCAGGUUUCAGCCUUUACCUCAUAAUUACAGCGACCAUCACCUCCUGUAGAGAGAGAGUACGUUUGACCACAAAGAGCUUCAUGCACUGCAGAUUAUUCGGUUCUUACCAAGACAAAAAGACUUAGAUUUAUAAGUGUUAGUGGAUAAUUUUUCUUGUUUUAAGACUUCUUAUUUUAAGUGUUUAACUUUACACUUUAAUCCUAAAUCAAGCACAGUAUUUUUUCUCUUAAUUUCUAUUUUUUGUUUAACUAAUCUUCAGCUUAAUUUGUUAAAAAUAAGAAAACAAAAUAUGUAAUUGCUCAUAUUUAUUACAUUUCACUUAUUUUAGGGCUGUAAAAGUUAAAAUUCAAGUACUCUGAUCUUAAACCAGCACUUUAUACUUAUUUUAUGCUUAUGUUAAGUAUAGUUAACUUACUUUUGGGGCUGUAAAAGUUAAAUUUUAAGUAAUCUGAUCUUAAAACCAGCCUUUCUGGUUUACUUUAAGCCUUCUAAAUGCAUUUGUAGACAUGCUUAUUACUAGAUUUAACAAUCUUAAUUCAAGAAAUUUUGUCAGGUGAAAUCAUCUUGCUGCAUGGACAGAUAAUUUUCCUCGUCUUUAGUACCUUUUUCCUCAGAUUUAGUGUCUUUAUCUUUUUUUUCAGACCCCCUUUUUUUGCAGUGUGGAUGUGGAUGCUGUUUGGUCUCACUGUGACAAGAGUCGGAAAAUGACGAAUGCGUGCAAAGUCUGCGACUGUUUUUGAUCGGUUCUUUUCAAUUAAGAUAAAUGCCAUGUGGGGACAAGUGCUGUCCCGUAGUGAUGGGAAGAACAGUUCUUUUGACUGUACUGAAUCUUUAGAAUCCGUUCAUUAAAACGAUUCGUUCAAAAGAUUCGUUCACUGAAUCAGUGAGUUUGGUGACACACGUCGUUCAUUCGCCAAGUCCUGAAGGAAGAAUCACUCCCCUACCAUGGAAAACUCGCCUCUCUGUGUGUCGCUGUCAGCGGAAACAACAAGCAGCUAGCAGCACGCCCGCUAAAUGAGCAGGAGUCGUUGUUCUUUUAUAUCGCGGGAAAGUGGAGAGAUUAAAAAUAAACAUCGCAGUUCUGGUAGGGACUCAGUGAACGAAUCGGUGCUUGGCAGUAGCGAACGACGCUACGCCCCUCCCUCCUCUGCCUGCAUCAAGUCAUUUGGAAGUCGUUUGUUUCAUCACAGACUGACUGACACAUAUUGUUCAUUCGCUGUGAGUAAAUCACGAGACUCCACCCGCCUGCUCACUGGCUGGCUGGCUGUGUCGUUCACCAAAGAGUCAAAGGCGGCAGUUCCACUCCUGACCGGCACGCCACGCUCACGGCUGAGCUCAACUGAACUGAGAAAGGAACGAAUCAGGUCUCAGACUGAUUCCAUUCACGUCCGUUUGACACAACACGACUGUUCCUGCAAGAAGUUCAGAUUUUGGGGACGAGUAAAACAUCGUGCACACAUCAGUUCUUAUCUUGCACAUGUGUAACUGCUUCAAGUCUUAUAGAAGUGCACACAAAGGUCUGCACAAGCUGACAGGGACCGGCUCCACGUCCCUCCUCUUACCUUAUCGUUUUUGGUGUCGCGGACUGAAUAGCGAAUCUGCUUCCUAAUUGGACGCCAGGCUCGGGGCUUUGUCCUUUGGCGUGAUGUGACAAGCCGUUAUAAGUGGUUGCUUUCACCAGCUUUCAGUGGAAGUUUAAGACCGUGCAAAAAUGAAACAGCGGAUCAUGCCCACGUUUUCAGCCGACACUGAUGUGGCGUUACCUCACGGGCAGGAUGGGAGAUCGAGGGCGAGGAGGGGAGCGUCUCCGGGAAGAAUCCGACAGGGUUUAGGUCCUAUUUGUCUCGCAUUUUGACGACUCCUCCCCCGCAGGAUUGUACGUGCAAAUGUGUAUUUCCGACUCCGACUCAUCACUGCCUAAUUGGCACUUAACAGCUGCCCCUCACGGCCUCCUCGCUGGCUGCUUUUCCGCUCACUUUUCCCAGAGUGCAGAGCAGCAGCACCACAUCAAACAUCACCCAACUGAGAGGGCACUUUCCCCUACACCCUUUUCUCCCCCCCAAAACCUCCCCUAUUCCCUUCCCUUCCCUUGCAGCAAUCUCUAAGCAGUUUGCACCCAAGACAGCCCCGAGUGCUCAUUAUCGUUUGUCUCAGUCGGCCUGUCGCUCUGAAAUCCGCCCCCUCCUUACCCGUCGCCCACCUCCGCCUUCCCCUCUGGCUUUUCCCCCCACUUUGGAAAAAAAAAGAGCAUGAAGAAGACGUCAGGAUAUUGAAGAUGUUCUGCAUUCAGGCUCUGAGCCAAAAGAGACGGCGCAUACGGCAGACAUAUGGCCACGUCUUCAAAAUCUUAUCUUUAUUUAACCAGGCCCAUCAAUCACGGCGAAUCGCCUUUUCUGCGAGUCAAAACCACGUUGGAAGACAGAUGUUGGAGGACAAGUUUUAUUUUCUGUAAACAUAAAGGUUAUCGUUAGUUCCCUUUUGAGCCAUCCAGACUAAAAGAAAAUGGUCGGCAUUGGCGUGGAUGUUAUGUUCGAACACAUCAACGCAUGUGGAUGUCAUAUUACACCAAAUGAGGCAAAAUGAAGCAAAGCAAAAGCACAGACGCUCAAGGUCCCUCGCUUGUUUCAGACUAAUGGAAAGAGAAACAAGCUUCGGAGUGUGCUCCUGUAAACAUCAGGUGCUGUUUCCAAUGCAAAUUGACUUGUUUUUUCAGAGGCCCAAUUAUGUGAGAGAGGGACAAUCUCCUCUUAUUCUCUAAACAAGCAAAACUGCUGCGGGAACAGGGGGGAAAAACCCAGUUUUCCAUUUUUACAAAGCGACCGAGCUUAUAAAAUUCAGCUUUUCGUUUGUUUCAACGCUGCGUAAACAAACUCUUAAAACCACUCAAAACCAAAAUCUGCAACAGCCUCGUAACUAUCCCAUUUCAGCCUCUCGGACUCUCUGACUUUUGCUUAGUUGACUAAAUGUUUGGUAUUUUUAAACAUUCAACUUUGACUAUCUGAUUCGACCAGAAGAGACAGGUAUCAUCUGCAUAACAGUGAACUUUGAGAUAGGAUAAGUUGAGACAACAACAAGCUACUAAUUGGUAGUUGCGCCCCCCCGUAAUAACCCCACAUAAUAACCUGUUGUUCAGGACUGCGCGUAACAUGUUCACUUGCUCACCUCCUACCUACCCGGCUACCGUAAUGAACAUUGUUCUGGUCUACAUGCAACAUUUUUUUCCUCAUUAAUGAAACGCUGAAGUCGGGGACAUUUCCGGGGACAGUUUUUGCGGGGGACAGAUAAUCCAAAACAGGUACAUCAGGGACAUCUGGUCUGUUAUGGAUAAUGGUGCCAAGUAGGGCUGCACAAUAUAUUGUUCAAGCAUCGUCAUCGCGAUGUACGUGUGUGUGAUAUUCACAUUGCAAAUUAACUCAUCUCAUUUCCAGGGUAGCUGACUGAGAUACAUUGCAUGUGACUCUGCAUGUGCAGCGAUCCACCAAUCACAUUUGUUCUUUACUCAGUUGCCAAUCAGACUACCCUGCCAGCUGUCAAUCAAAAAUCAGAGGGGAGGAAACCACGCCCCUGUACAUGGAGUGAGUCGCUGGCGCUGCCGGUGUUGUGCCGAGAAACGCGUGCCUGCCAAGAAUUACUUUCGGAACAUUACUCAUCCAAAUAUUAAGAAUUGUACGGGUUUAAAUCGUAUAUUUACGUGGAAAAUGACGACUUGUUGCCAGAAAGAAAAGGAAAGUCUGUUAUGUUGAAUUAUUUUGGUCACAAGAAGGAUGAUAUCAACCAAACACGUGUUCUGUCUCGGCCGUGCCUCUCAUCUGUCGUCACAAUAACAUCAGGUCAUCUGGUGAAAAUUCCUAUAUUAUAUAUCACAGGGUUGAGAAAAAUUGUAAUGUUAAUUUUUUCCAAUAUCGUGCAGCCUUAGUGCCGAGUAAGAUGGUGUAUAAAGAGAAAAUAAGAGGACCAAGCAGUGACCCCUGAGGAACCCCUGAUGUUGAGUGUGUAGUUUGGACACUUCUUAAACAAAGUUCAGUUUGAAGAGGGGUUUUAAUGGUUCACAUAAACAUGUGUUGUUGUCAUUGUGGGCGGAGUCAGAUGUCAAUCAUAUUCUGAUUACGAAAUGGUCAAAAUGCAGAAUUAGCUGCUCAUGAACUUGCAUUUUGAAGCCUGUCCUUUACUCGGAUUUCCUUUUUUUUUUUUUUUUGGAUGUCCACACACUCUCUUAACUUUGAUUACAUUUUCACAUUUCUACUACCUAAUGCUAAUUCCCUCCUCUCCUUGAGUUUAGUGGAGGUUCUCAGGUCCAGGUUUGAAAAAUGAGGGAGUUACAGUAGAGUGAAUAUACAAUAAAACGCUGGUAUGAAGUUUUAACCCUGGCAAUGUCAGCUAACCAUAUUAGCAUUCCCACAUGGGGGAAAGGCUGUGAGUUGGAAUAGAAAUGGGCUGGUUCAGCGAGCAGGGGGAGUCGAGGUCCCAUUCGUCUUGUCCUGUUUAAAUACACUGGUUAACUCCUGCCAACGGGGAAGCCAUUCAGCAAAAGGCCAAGGGCAUCUGUCAUGUGUUCAGCACAUUGAUAUUGUCCCCUUCCAUCUCUCUCUUCCCUCUAUCGUUUCCCCCUCUUUGUUUGUCUCCACCGCUCUCCCGCUCUUCCUCCUCUUUCCCCCCCUCCUCUUCUGAUGAAAGGAGUGAAUAUGCAGGGAACUGACAUGAUUAGCAGCCUCAUAUCCCCAUGAUGGAUGGUGCCUGCUCCAUUAUUAAUAUAGUAAAAGCACCAACUGCCAGGUAAGAGCAAUGUCAGCAUCCACAAUAUAACGCUGUGUGCCCACGGAUAAUGGUGAGCACUUAUUUUUAUCUAUGAUAUGCAUGGGCCUCAGGCCGAGGAAGACGAGGAGGAGGAGGAGGCGGUGUAAACGACUAAGCAAGAGCACCAAGACUUUGAGAAUUUCCAGUGAAAACGAAUAUUUUGCCAAAUUAAAGAAAUUUUGAGCUUCACGAACCGACGAAUAACGAUCCAAGUGACCUUAAUAAUAUUUAACGUUUAUAGGCUCGCUUAACGAUUGAUAUUUUAUCCCUCGUGUGAUAUUUUUUCAAUUAGACUGUGAUUUAUAACGUUUCUGUGACAUUUGCACGCCGCCACUCACACUUUAUUUGUACGACAGCGAUUUAAGCCCUCCGACCAAUAAACUUUGUCAAUAUAACUCGAGGAAAUCUCGUUAUAUUUUACUGGAAUAUUCCAUUUUCCGAACAGUAAAGCGUUUUAAAAGCAUGAAUAAAUUAUGCAGUCCACCGCUGACUUGUCAGGUCGCUCAUGUCCUGCCGACAACGCCAAUACACGUCUCGGCGUUGUCAACUCAGAGUCAUUUAUGUAGCAGUCACAUGACAGAGUAGGUCGAUUGGCGAUGACCCCGAGAGUGUGCGGGGCAUACAUAAGGACGGAUUUAGGGUAUGUUCACACUGCAGGUCAAUUCCGAUUUUUUAACCAUAUGUGACACAUAUCGGAUUUUUCAUGUAAGUGUGAACAGUGCAAUUCCGAUUUUGACGCAAAAAGAUCGGAUUUAAUGAAAAAUCUGAAACCUGCAGUGUGAACGUAGCCUCAGAUAUUCUUGUUCUGUUUUCUUCAAUUUGGUAGAAGUUUCUUAAAUGAGCAUUUCCACGUUUGUUUAAAAUGUCAGGAAUCGCAGAAUCCACUUCGGCUCCGUCCUGAUGUGUUAGUGCUUCACCGAACACGUGCACUCAUGAAAAGAAGUCUUUGUCUCACAUGAAAAUGUUUUAUUUAGCGUCAAGUGUAACCUUUUCCCACUUUUUGUUGCGUCUGAAGCUCAUCCAAAGAGCCCAUAAACAAUGCAUAAAAAUAACAGGAUUUAUCUCGUGAAUAUUUUACACCUCAGCCAGCCGUGAGGAAAUCGGCUAAACAGGACACAAGCGCUCCAGAUUGUUGUUUUCUUGUCACUUGACCGGCGACUGUAUGUCUGAAUUUACGUCCACCGUCUGUCAUGUUUUUUUUAGGGGUGAAAAGAUGCAGUUCAGGAUGAGGGGAUGGAUGAAGAGCAGCAGGGAUAGGUAAGAAGAAAAAGGGAGCGAAGGAAAGAGGCAGGAAAAGGCAAAGAGAGACAGAGUGAGUUGUGUCAAAUGGAUAAAUGUCAGCGGGAGCUUCAUCGUCCUCCUGAGCCGAGCGCUCCCUCCCAAAAUGCCAUGUGUAAAUCGUGGAGCCGGGGCCCACGGCCAGCCUUUCCCCCCAGCACUGUAAUGAGAUUACAGACCUCUACAACACUGUGUGUAUGUGUGUGUGUGUGUGUGUGUGUGUGUGUGUGUGUGUGUGUGUGUGUGUGUGUGUGUGUGUGUAUCAGAAGAGGAGAGGAUACUAUUGAGCUGCAUGGAAGUGCACAAUUUCCGAGUCUUGCACAGGGGCAGGCGAAUACAUGGCAUUACUCACAGCUGCAAACAAGACGUAUCCGGGAAGAUUCGGACACUUAUUUGUACAAGGGGUGCAGUUUUUUUCUCUGAAGUGCAGGU